rnacentral:misc_RNA from 1 species
GAUGAAGAACGCAGUGAAAUGCGAUAAGUAAUGUGAAUUGCAGAAUUCAGUGAAUCAUCGAAUCUUUGAACGCACAUUGCGCUCGCCAGUAUUCUGGCGAGCAUGCCUGUUCGAGCGUCAUUUCAACCAUCAAGCUCUGCUUGCGUUGGGGAUCCGCGUCUGACGCGGUCCCUCAAAAACAGUGGCGGGCUCGCUAGUCACACCGAGCGUAGUAACUCUACAUCGCUAUGGUCGUGCGGCGGGUUCUUGCCGUAAAACCCCCAAUUUCUAAGGUUGACCUCGGAUCAGGUAGGAAUACCCGCUGAACUUAAGCAUAUCAAUAAGCGGAGGA